rnacentral:lncRNA from 1 species
AGUGUAUUGUCUGUGUGUAUUAACAGUGUAUUGUCUGUGUGUAUUAACAGUGUAUUGUCUGUGUGUAUUAACAGUGUGUGUCUGUGUGUAUUAACUGUGUGUCUGUGUGUAUUAACUGUGUGUAUUAACUGUGUGUAUUAAGUGUGUCUGUGUGUAUUAAGUGUGUCUGUGUGUAUUGUCUGUGUGUAUUGUCUGUGUGUAUUAACUGUGUGUCUGUGUGUAUUAACUGUGUGUCUGUGUGUAUUAACUGUGUGUCUGUGUAUUGUCUGUGUGUAUUAACUGUGUGUCUGUGUGUAUUAAUUGUGUGUCUGUGUAUUGUCUGUGUGUAUUAACUGUGUCUGUGUGUAUUAAUUGUGUGUCUGUGUAUUGUCUGUGUGUGUCUGUGUGUAUUAACAGUGUGUCUGUGUGUAUUAACUGUGUGUCUGUGUGUGUAUUAACUGUGUGUCUGUGUGUGUAUUAACUGUGUGUCUGUGUGUGUAUUAACUGUGUGUCUGUGUGUGUAUUGUCUGUGUGUAUUAACAGUGUGUCUGUGUGUAUUAACAGUGUGUCUGUGUGUAUUAACUGUGUGUAUUAACUGUGUGUCUGUGUGUAUUAACAGUGUGUCUGUGUAUUAACAGUGUGUCUGUGUGUAUUAACAGUGUGUCUGUGUGUAUUAACUGUGUGUCUGUGUGUAUUAACUGUGUGUCUGUGUGUAUUAACUGUGUGUCUGUGUGUAUUAACUGUGUGUCUGUGUGUAUUAACUGUGUGUCUGUGUGUAUUAACUGUGUGUCUGUGUGUGUAUUAACUGUGUGUCUGUGUGUGUAUUAACUGUGUGUCUGUGUGUGUAUUAACUGUGUGUCUGUGUGUGUAUUGUCUGUGUGUAUUAACAGUGUGUCUGUGUGUAUUAGCAGUGUGUCUGUGUGUAUUAGCAGUGUGUCUGUGUGUGUAUUGUCUGUGUGUAUUAACUGUGUGUCUGUGUGUAUUAACUGUGUGUCUGUGUGUAUUAACUGUGUGUCUGUGUGUAUUAACUGUGUGUCUGUGUGUAUUAACUGUGUGUCUGUGUGUAUUAACUGUGUGUAUUAACUGUGUGUCUGUGUGUAUUAACUGUGUGUCUGUGUGUAUUAACUGUGUGUCUGUGUGUAUUAACUGUGUGUCUGUGUGUAUUAACUGUGUGUCUGUGUAUAUUAACAGUGUGUCUGUGUGUCUGUGUGUGUCUGUGUUGUGUCUGUGUGUGUCUGUGUGUAUUGUCUGUGUGUCUGUGUAUGUUAACAGUGUGUCUGUGUGUAUUUGCGGUGUGUGUCUGUGUGUAUUAAUUGUGUGUCUAUGUGUAUUAAUUGUGUGUCUGUGUGUAUUAAUUGUGUGUCUGUGUGUAUUGUGUGUCUGUGUGUAUUUGCGGUGUGUGUCUGUGUGUAUUUGCGGUGUGUGUCUGUGUGUAUUUGCGGUGUGUCUCUGUGUGUAUUUGCGGUGUGUGUAUUAGCGGUGUGUGUCUGUGUGUAUUUGCGGUGUGUGUCUGUGUAUAUUAAGUGUGUCUGUGUGUAUUAGCGGUGUGUGUCUGUGUGUAUUAACAGUGUCUGUGUGUGUCUGUAUUAACAGUGUCUGUGUAUUAGCGGUGUGUGUCUGUGUAUUAACGGUGUGUGUCUGUGUGUAUUAAGUGUGUCUGAGUGUGUCUGUGUGUAUUAACGGUUGUGUGUGUGUGUGUAUUAACGUUGUGUGCAUUAACGUUGUGUGUCUGUGUGCAUUAACGUUGUGUAUCUGUGUGUAUUAACGUUGUGUGUCUGUGUGUGUAUUAACCGUUGUGUCUGUGUGUCUAUUAACGGUUUUGUGUGUGUGUGUGUGUGUUAGCAGUGUGUGUCUGUGUGUAUUAACGGUGUGUAUCUGUGU